rnacentral:rRNA from 1 species
AUGGGGGGAACCCUGACCGAGCAACGCCGCGUGAGUGAAGAAGGUUUUCGGAUCGUAAAGCUCUGUUGUUAGGGAAGAACGAGUGUGAGAAUGGAAAGUUCAUACUGUGACGGUACUUAACCAGAAAGGGACGGCUAACUACGUGCCAGCAGCCGCGGUAAUACGUAGGUCCCGAGCGUUGUCCGGAUUUAUUGGGCGUAAAGCGAGCGCAGGCGGUUAGAAAAGUCUGAAGUGAAAGGCAGUGGCUCAACCAUUGUAGGCUUUGGAAACUGUUUAACUUGAGUGCAGAAGGGGAGAGUGGAAUUCCAUGUGUAGCGGUGAAAUGCGUAGAUAUAUGGAGGAACACCGGUGGCGAAAGCGGCUCUCUGGUCUGUAACUGACGCUGAGGCUCGAAAGCGUGGGGAGCGAACAGGAUUAGAUACCCUGGUAGUCCACGCCGUAAACGAUGAGUGCUAGGUGUUAGGUCCUUUCCGGGACUUAGUGCCGCAGCUAGCGCAUUAAGCACUCCGCCUGGGGAGUACGACCGCAAGGUUGAAACUCAAAGGAAUUGACGGGGGCCCGCACAAGCGGUGGAGCAUGUGGUUUAAUUCGAAGCCACGCGAAGAACCUUACCAGGUCUUGACAUUCCCGAAUGCCUAUUUUCUAGAGAUAGG